rnacentral:lncRNA from 1 species
GGGCACCUUCCAAGAGCUCCCUGGUGAGUCUAACACACACCAGGGACAGAACCAUCAGACUAUGGCCCCACAGUCCUUUGCAAUUCUCCCAUCCUCUUGGCUAAUUAAAUUCCGAGAUGCCACUGCGGGUUUCUCUGGUGUUAGACUCUUGUUCAUUUUUACUCCUCGCUGGGGAUAAAAUGUGUUCUCAGAGUUGGCGGGAGAAGUUUCUCAUCUUUGGAGUAUUUCUGGCCGUGAGUCGGCUUUGUGACUGUGCCCUUAGAGGGCCUUUUAAGCUGAGGAUAAUCCCUAUGGAAAUGGAUUUCAGGACACGUGGUGGUACUUGGCUCCACAGGGCAGCUCUGGUGCUGGGCUCUGGAUGGCUGGUCACUGCACAAUAUCUGGAAAUCCAGAUAAAGCCCAGACACUGCAGCUGAUGUUGUGAUAGAGACACCAAGAGAGCCUCCUGGGGGUAGCUGCCUGCACCCUAAACUCUUCAGACCUGGAUUUAGUGAGCGGUUAUAUCAAUGGUAUAAGCAAACAGGACUAGGUCUCCAUUCAGCCUGCGUACCAGCGGCCAACUUUAUUCCUUCUUAGUUUUGAAAUAAACUCUUUGAAAUUCUCUGGUGCCUUAAGGAAAAAUGAGAAAGGAAACCCCUGGGGUUUGCUGAUAUAUUUAGUCCUCUUCCCUGUGUCAGGAGAAUUUCUAGAGGAAGAGAAUCCAUACGCAGGACCUAAAACUGCUUUCAAUAAGCCCGCAGAGCUGGGGUGGAGAAUUGCAUUUCCUUUUAUCCCAUUUGAUCUUUCCCAUGACCGCUCCAUGCCUGGUGUCCGUGCAGUGAAGAGUCAUGAACUGACACCGUGGCCAUGGCUGUGAUAAGGCACAGACCGAUAGCACCUCUAUCUGAUGGUAGAAAAAGGGAAGGAAAGACAAAUGACUGAGAUUGUUAAAGUAGCUGAAGACUUUAUUUCAACUCUGUGUCAAUGUGUUUGAACGUGCUACGAUGCAGUGUUUGUAAGCAGGACACUGAAGUGAUGGGGAGAAUGCUGUCUGUCCAGUGAUGUGACAGCUAUUAACCUAGACUUCUCAUGGGGACAAGGGCAAAGUCUGCCCCUAACAGAGGAGGGGUGAGCUCUGGAGAGGUACUCUGGGUUUGAACUCUGGAUGUGCCAAGCAGCCAUGCAGGCUUGGGCGUGGUGCUUGUGUCCCCAGCUUUUCUCAGGAACAGGGCCGGGGGGUGUGGGAUCCUGGGGGGAGCGCAUGGUUUUUAUGCACUCAGAGCAUGUUAGAGGACACCAGGAGCCCUGCCUCUUCCCCGUGACAGCAGGCUCUGCAGAUGCCUCUCAGAGGGAUGCUGGAGCAUCUACCACCACCCUGAGCUGGGGACUGCGUCCAUCUCUUCCACAGCGCAGGUUUUCACCGCCUGCUUUUUGAUGGUCAGGCAGGGAAGAGCCAGUGGAUCACUGGCAGAGAUUAUGAGUAAGAUUUGUGGGUUCAUUUUGGCAGAUCCUCCAGGGCCUCCUUACUCUUUCCUAGUUGAAUCCUGGGCAGAGAUCCCAGGAAAUCUGUGAAGCACAACAUCGGUUUGGAAAGUGUGUGUUUUUACACUGGAUCCAAAAUGCACAGAAAGUCCACCCCUUGUGGCUGCGUGGACAGGCAAGGACUCCUAGACGACGGCGGGAUAAGCCCCCCACGGUGGGAUGUGCUGCUCACCGGGUGGUCCAGCACCAGGAGCAGACCCCCUUCCUUUUGGAUGCUCUUCAGCAGGACCCUCCUCUGGUGCUGGGCCAGUGGGUGUCCCGUCAUGUCUGCCAGCAGGGAUGUGACAGAGCCAGCCACCAGGAGCUGCUUCUCAGAUUCCUG